UAGUCUGGUCUCAACUGGCUCAUUCCAGGG
rnacentral:piRNA from 1 species